UUUUAAAAAGAUUGAAAUUAUAUUUCUUUCGAACCUUGUUUGGUGGAACACUCGCGUGUUCUCUCGAAUCUCUCUCGAUCCCUAGCUCUGCAUUCUCCACUAAUUCUCCCAAAUGUCUCUGCAACCCUAACCUUAAGUCCUCCACUCUCUACGCACUGAUUCUCUCAAAUAUCUCUCUGCAACCCUAACAUUCAAUCUUCACUCUCCACACCUCUCCACCCUCUCCACUCUCCACGCAUUGAUCUCUUCAAUCUCUCUCGAACCCAACUUCAACACCUCCACUCUCGAUGCAUUGAAACUGCUCAUCUCUCGACAGGCACUGAAACACUCGAGCUGUUUCGUGCGAAAACCUUUCUCCUAUAAUCUCCUUGUGCCUCGUUGAGGAAUCUCGUUCAGUCACUUCGUUUCACCUCCGCGUCGUUCAGUGGCGGUCUUUCGUUAGGAGAUGCUAAGACCUUCAUCUGCCACAACCACCGCCAUCGCCACUGCCACGGCGAGGCUUGGAUAGAAUCGGAGCAACCAUAGCAGCAAUCAUGUAAGUGCAAAGCCAUAACUUCAACUUUGAUGUUUCAAUUCCACUCGCGUCAAUAUUAUUGUUAGGGUAAAUAUAUAGAACGAUGUUGUGUCGAUUUCCUUUGAUGCUAUGAUCAUUGUAUGUUUAAACAUUUUCGAAUUCUAUAUUUGAGAUUAGGACAAUGAUUAGUAGGAUAAUAGAGGUUAGAUGUAUACCAUGGGAACGUAGAUAUUUUUUCUCUAUUACAGAGUAAUAUGA